GUGGUGCGCUCAGAGCAGGGACAGUGAAAAGUGGCCUCUGUGUUUACAACACGCCCAAUAGGAAUCUGGCACCAUGUAACAAGGAGCGCAACAUUCAUGUCCUCCCUGUGAACCGGUGCCCCACGU